rnacentral:rRNA from 1 species
ACGGGAGGCAGCAGUGGGGAAUAUUGGGCAAUGGGCGAAAGCCUGACCCAGCGACGCCGCGUGAGGGAAGAAGGUCUUCGGAUUGUAAACCUUAGUCAACAGGAACGAAGAAAGUGACGGUACCUGUGGAGGAAGCCACGGCUAACUACGUGCCAGCAGCCGCGGUAAUACGUAGGGGGCAAGCGUUAUCCGGAUUUACUGGGUGUAAAGGGAGCGUAGACGGCAAGGCAAGUCUGAUGUGAAAACCCAGGGCUCAACCGUGGGACUGCAUUGGAAACUGUCUAGCUAGAGUGCAGGAGAGGUAAGUGGAAUUCCUAGUGUAGCGGUAAAAUGCGUAGAUAUUAGGAGGAACACCAGUGGCGAAGGCGGCUUACUGGACUGUAACUGACGUUGAGGCUCGAAAGCGUGGGGAGCAAACAGGAUUAGAUACCCUGGUA